rnacentral:rRNA from 1 species
UACGAAGGGGGCUAGCGUUGUUCGGAAUUACUGGCGUAAAGCGCGUGUAGGCGGGUCUUUAAGUCAGGGGUGAAAUGCCAAGGCUCAACCUUGGAACUGCCUUUGAUACUGGAGAUCUUGAGUCCGGGAGAGGUGAGUGGAACUGCGAGUGUAGAGGUGAAAUUCGUAGAUAUUCGCAAGAACACCAGUGGCGAAGGCGGCUCACUGGCCCGGAACUGACGCUGAGACGCGAAAGCGUGGGGAGCAAACAGG